GAUGAAGAACGCAGCGAAAUGCGAUACGUAAUGUGAAUUGCAGAAUUCAGUGAAUCAUCGAAUCUUUGAACGCAUAUUGCGCUCUCUGGUAUUCCGGAGUGCAUGCUUGUUUGAGUAUCAGUAAACACCUCAACUUCCAUAUCUUUUUUGAAAUGGGAGUUGGACUUGAGUGAUCCCAACGCUUUUCCUCACCGAAAAGUGGCGGGUUACGUGAAAUGCAGGUGCAGCUGGACUUUUCUCUGAGCUAUAAGCAUAUCUAUUUAGUCUGCCUAAAAAACAGAUCAUUACCUUUGCUGCAGCUAACAUAAAGGAGAUUAGUUCUUGUGCUGACUGAUGCAGGAUUCACAAAGACAGGCUUCGGCCGACUUUGUAAACUCGAUCUCAAAUCAAGUAAGACUACCCGCUGAACUUAAGCAUAUCAAUAAGCGGGGA
rnacentral:misc_RNA from 1 species